rnacentral:rRNA from 1 species
AUGGAUCACAAUGCCGACGAGACGGAUGCUCUGUUCACCGGCGAAGCCAUGAUUGUUCCCCCCGCACGCUCAACUGCCACUACCGUCAUCCCCGCUCAUCCAUCCACUCUCAGGCCUAUGACAAUUAAGCAGUUGUAUGAUGGAUUCCUGGAGGACAUAGAGCGUUACCCUAUCGUAGUUGACGGAGACACCGUGUCAUCAGUGAUCCUGAUAGGAACUGUUUCACACUCUACUGUUCGAAUGAAUCACUGGUCCUUCGAUCUACAGGAUGCCACAGGGUUAAUCAACAUAUCUUUCUGGCCGGAAACAACUUCCGACUUUAAACUUGCUUGGUCAUCAAGGUUAAUCGAAAACUACAAUGACACCACGCACCACUACUUGUAUACCAUACACACCACAUUAGACAUUCGUAAGAGAAACACCCACAAGGCAAGAAUGGAACCUGACUCCACAGCAUCAACUGUUUUCCCAAAGGGGCCGUCAAUUACCCCGUCGGAGGUGCCCUUGCAUUCGUCAACAAAGGACAAGAUAUUUGCCAUCCUGCGAGACCCAGCUUACCGCGAUAUUCAGCAUGGCGUUAGCUUGAAGUUAAUCCGUAGUGCACUGGACAUCAGCCAGGACGAGAUAAUGCAAGUCAUUACAGAGCAAAUCUACAUUGGGAUGAUAUACACAACUGUUGAUGACAACCACUUCAAGUCCUCCAUCUGA